rnacentral:rRNA from 1 species
UACAGAGGUCUCAAGCGUUGUUCGGAUUCAUUGGGCGUAAAGGGUGCGUAGGCGGCGCGGUAAGUCGGGUGUGAAAUCUCGGAGCUUAACUCCGAAACUGCAUUCGAUACUGUCGUGCUUGAGGACUGGAGAGGAGACUGGAAUUUACGGUGUAGCGGUGAAAUGCGUAGAUAUCGGGAGGAACACCAGUGGCGAAGGCGAUCUUCUGGACGGAUACUGACGCUGAGGCGCGAAAGCGUGGGGAGCGAACAGG